AGCUAAUGAUCUUUAACAAUCUUCCUAAUUUAUGGAACGAUACAGAGAAGGUUAGCAUGGCCCCUGCACAAGGAUGACGCACAAAUUCGUGAAGCGUUCCAUAUUUUU
ensembl:snRNA U6 U6 spliceosomal RNA